rnacentral:lncRNA from 1 species
UGCUGACCCUAACCCUGUCUGUCUGUCCUUCUCUGUCUGUCUGUCUGUCCGUCGGGUUUGUUCCAGGUGUGGUCGGUCCCUCGGGUCCCAGAGGUCGUUCAGGUCUUCCAGGUCUUCCUGGUAAAUCUGGUGUUGAUGGCCCUCCAGGACCACAGGGCUUCCCGGGACUCCAAGGUCCUCCUGGACCGCUGGGACUUCACGGACUGGACGGACUGAAAGGUGUAAAGGGGGACAUGGGGACCAGAGGUCUGGGGGUGCAGGGUCCUCCUGGUUCUAAAGGUCUUCCAGGUGAUAAAGGUCCUCAAGGUCCUCUGGGACCCAUUGGUUCAUCCCAGCCCGGCCCCCCAGGACCCACAGGCCCCCCAGGAGCCAAAGGUCUGUAGUAGGGUGAUUCCCAUUAGGGUCUGAUCUGAACUUUAGUUUGAACCGUCAGUAAUGGGUCUUUAUGUGUUGUUGUUGAAGGACCACCAGGAGGGUUGGGACCUCCAGGUAAAUCUGGACCAGACUGUAUAGCUCCAAUCCCAGGACCUCGUGGAGAUCCUGGUUGUACUGGAACAGAUGGAGAGCCAGGUCAGACUUUAACGCUCAUGUUUAAUCUUUUAAUAACGGUUGUUUGUUGUUUAAAUGAUCUAAAAUAAAAACCACAAUAGCUAGAGCAAUU